rnacentral:rRNA from 1 species
GACGAACGCUGGCGGCGUGGAUUAGGCAUGCAAGUCGGACGGUAGGGCUUUAUCGUAAGAUAGAGUUUGAGAGUGGCGAACGGGUGAGUAACACGUAGGAAUCUACCCUUAAGACGGGGACAACACAGGGAAACUUGUGCUAAUACCGUAUGUGCCCCUCGGGGGAAAGAUUUAUCGCCUUUGGAUCGGCCCGCGUUGGAUUAGGUAGUUGGUGGGGUAAUGGCCUACCAAGCCGACGAUCCAUAGCUGGUUUGAGAGGAUGAUCAGCAACACUGGGACUGAGACACGGCCCAGACUCCUACGGGAGGCAGCAGUGGGGAAUCUUAGACAAUGGGGGAAACCCUGAUCUAGCCAUGCCGCGUGAGCGAUGAAGGCCUUAGGGUUGUAAAGCUCUUUCAGAUGGGAAGAUAAUGACGGUACCAUCAGAAGAAGCCCCGGCUAACUCCGUG